rnacentral:rRNA from 1 species
CCUACGGGAGGCAGCAGUGAGGAAUAUUGGUCAAUGGACGAGAGCCUGAACCAGCCAAGUAGCGUGAAGGAUGACUGCCCUACGGGUUGUAAACUUCUUUUAUAUGGGAAUAAAAUGUGCCACGUGUGGCCUUUUGAAUGUACCUUAUGAAUAAGGAUCGGCUAACUCCGUGCCAGCAGCCGCGGUAACACGGAGGAUCCGAGCGUUAUCCGGAUUUAGUGGGUUUAAAGGGAGCGUAGGUGGUUUGUUAAGUCAGUUGUGAAAGUUUGCGGCUCAACCGUAAAAUUGCAGUUGACACUGGCAGUCUUGAGUACAGUAGAGGUAGGCGGAAUUCGUGGUGUAGCGGUGAAAUGCUUAGAUAUCACGAAGAACUCCGAUUGCGAAGGCAGCUUACUGGACUUCCACUGACACUGAUGCUCGAAAGUGUGGGUAUCAAACAGGAUUAGAUACCCGUGUAGUC